rnacentral:rRNA from 1 species
AUACGGAGGGUGCAAGCGUUAAUCGGAAUUACUGGGCGUAAAGCGCGCGUAGGCGGUUUGGUAAGUCGGAUGUGAAAGCCCCGGGCUCAACCUGGGAAUUGCAUUCGAUACUGCCCGACUAGAGUAUGGUAGAGGGAAGUGGAAUUCCGGGUGUAGCGGUGAAAUGCGUAGAUAUCCGGAGGAACACCAGUGGCGAAGGCGACUUCCUGGACCAAUACUGACGCUGAGGUGCGAAAGCGUGGGGAGCAAACAGGAUUAGAAACCCCGGUAGUCC